AUUGAACGCUGGCGGCAUGCCUUACACAUGCAAGUCGAACGGCAGCACGGGAGCAAUCCUGGUGGCGAGUGGCGAACGGGUGAGUAAUGUAUCGGAACGUGCCCAGUCGUGGGGGAUAACGUAGCGAAAGCUACGCUAAUACCGCAUACGAUCUAUGGAUGAAAGCGGGGGAUCGCAAGACCUCGCGCGAUUGGAGCGGCCGAUAUCAGAUUAGGUAGUUGGUGGGGUAAAGGCUCACCAAGCCGACGAUCUGUAGCUGGUCUGAGAGGACGACCAGCCACACUGGGACUGAGACACGGCCCAGACUCCUACGGGAGGCAGCAGUGGGGAAUUUUGGACAAUGGGCGCAAGCCUGAUCCAGCAAUGCCGCGUGCAGGAUGAAGGCCUUCGGGUUGUAAACUGCUUUUGUACGGAGCGAAAAGGCUCUCUCUAAUACAGGGGGCUCAUGACGGUACCGUAAGAAUAAGCACCGGCUAACUACGUGCCAGCAGCCGCCGUAAUAC
rnacentral:rRNA from 1 species